UACGUAGGGGGCAAGCGUUGUCCGGAAUCAUUGGGCGUAAAGAGCGUGUAGGCGGCCCGGUAAGUCCGCUGUGAAAGUCCAGGGCUCAACCCUGGGAUGCCGGUGGAUACUGUCGAACUAGAGUGCGGAAGAGGCGAGUGGAAUUCCUGGUGUAGCGGUGGAAUGCGCAGAUAUCAGGAGGAACACCAAUUGCGAAGGCAGCUCGCUGGGACGUAACUGACGCUGAGACGCGAAAGCGUGGGGAGCAAACAGG
rnacentral:rRNA from 1 species